rnacentral:lncRNA from 1 species
GCAAAGUCUGGGGCCAUUCCGAGUCCGGCGGACGAACUUCGCCCACGCCCCCCACCAAGGCUAUAGCCCACCCGUUUUUUGGCCAUUUUUCCGCUGGGGUGUCUUGGCGCCCCGACCUUCGGGGGCUGAAUUUUGGGCGCGGGUGUGCCCGUGGCCUAUUUUUGGCACACGGAGGCCGCCCGCAAAGUCUGGGGCCAUUCCGAGUCCGGCGGACGAACUUCGCCCACGCCCCCCACCAAGGCUAUAGCCCACCCGUUUUUUGGCCAUUUUUCCGCUUGGGGGUCUUGGCGCCCCGACCUUCGGGGGCUGAUUUUUGGGCGCGGGUGUGCCCGUGGCCUAUUUUUGGCACACGGAGGCCGCCCGCAAAGUCUGGGGCCAUUCCGAGUCCGGCGGACGAACUUCGCCCACGCCCCCCACCAAGGCUAUAGCCCACCCGUUUUUUGGCCAUUUUUCCGCUGGGGGGUCUUGGCGCCCCGACCUUCGGGGGCUGAUUUUUGGGCGCGGGUGUGCCCGUGGCCUAUUUUUGGCACACGGAGGCCGCCCGCAAAGUCUGGGGCCAUUGCGAGUCCGGCGGACGAACUUCGCCCACGCCCCCCACCAAGGCUAUAGCCCACCCGUUUUUUGGCCAUUUUUCCGCUGGGGGGUCUUGGCUCCCCGACCUUCGGGGGCUGAUUUUUGGGCGCGGGUGUGCCCGUGGCCUAUUUUUGGCACACGGAGGCCGCCCGCAAAGUCUGGGGCCAUUCCGAGUCCGGCGGACGAACUUCGCCCACGCCCCCCACCAAGGCUAUAGCCCACCCGUUUUUUGGCCAUUUUUCCGCUGGGGGGUCUUGGCGCCCCGACCUUCGGGGGCUGAAUUUUGGGCGCGGGUGUGCCCGUGGCCUAUUUUUGGCACACGGAGGCCGCCCGCAAAGUCUGGGGCCAUUCCGAGUCCGGCGGACGAACUUCGCCCACGCCCCCCACCAAGGCUAUAGCCCACCCGUUUUUUGGCCAUUUUUCCGCUGGGGGGUCUUGGCGCCCCGACCUUCGGGGGCUGAAUUUUGGGCGCGGGUGUGCCCGUGGCCUAUUUUUGGCACACGGAGGCCGCCCGCAAAGUCUGGGGCCAUUCCGAGUCCGGCGGACGAACUUCGCCCACGCCCCCCACCAAGGCUAUAGCCCACCCGUUUUUUGGCCAUUUUUCCGCUGGGGGGUCUUGGUGCCCCGACCUUCGGGGGCUGAUUUUUGGGCGCGGGUGUGCCCGUGGCCUAUUUUUGGCACACGGAGGCCGCCCGCAAAGUCUGGGGCCAUUCCGAGUCCGGCGGACGAGCUUCGCCCAUGCCCCCCCACCAAGGCUAUAGCCCACCCGUUUUUUGGCCAUUUUUCCGCUGGGGGGUCUUGGCGCCCCGACCUUCGGGAGCUGAUUUUUGGGCGCGGGUGUGCCCGUGGCCUAUUUUUUGCACACGGAGGCCGCCCGCAAAGUCUGGGGCCAUUCCGAGUCCGGCGGACGAACUUCGCCCACGCCCCCCACCAAGGCUAUAGCCCACCCGUUUUUUGGCCAUUUUUCCGCUGGGGGGUCUUGACUCCCCGACCUUCGGGGGCUGAUUUUUGGGCGCGGGUGUGCCCGUGGCCUAUUUUUGGCACACGGAGGCCGCCCGCAAAGUCUGGGGCCAUUCCGAGU